CAAGAUUGGUGUUUUUCACGCAUGGCACAUUUGCAUGGGAGCAGGCACGAGUGUAAACGAGUAAACGUCCAGCUGUCGGGCGGCACCUCUUCACCUCUACCACAGUACUCUAAUACCUUCUCUCUGGUCAUCAUCUUCACCUCUACCACAGUACUCUAAUACCUUCUCUCUGGUCAUCAUCUUCACCUCUACCACAGUACUCUAAUACCUUCUCUCUGGUCAUCAUCUACUCUUCUCCUCUACCGCAGUACUCUAAUACCUUCUCUCUGGUCAUCGUCUGCUGGUCUCCUCUACCACAGUACUCUAAUACCUUCUCUCUGGUCAUCAUCUACUCUUCAGCUCUACCACAGUACUCUAAUACCUUCUCUCUGGUCAUCAUCUACUCCUCUACCACAGUACUCUAAUACCUUCUCUCUGGUCAUCAUCUACUCUUCUCCUCUACCGCAGUACUCUAAUACCUUCUCUCUGGUCAUCAUCUGCUGGUCUCCUCUACCGCAGUACUCUAAUACCUUCUCUCUGGUCAUCGUCUGCUGGUCUCCUCUACCACAGUACUCUAAUACCUUCUCUCUGGUCAUCGUCUGCUGGUCUCCUCUACCACAGUACUCUAAUACCUUCUCUCUGGUCAUCGUCUGCUGGUCUCCUCUACCACAGUACUCUAAUACCUUCUCUCUGGUCAUCAUCUACUCUUCACCUCUACCGCAGUACUCUAAUACCUUCUCUCUGGUCAUCAUCUACUCUUCAUCUCUACCACAGUACUCUAAUACCUUCUCUCUGGUCAUCGUCUGCUGGUCUCCUCUACCGCAGUACUCUAAUACCUUCUCUCUGGUCAUCGUCUGCUGGUCUCCUCUACCACAGUACUCUAAUACCUUCUCUCUGGUCAUCGUCUGCUGGUCUCCUCUACCACAGUACUCUAAUACCUUCUCUCUGGUCAUCGUCUGCUGGUCUCCUCUACCACAGUACUCUAAUACCUUCUCUCUGGUCAUCAUCUACUCUUCACCUCUACCGCAGUACUCUAAUACCUUCUCUCUGGUCAUCAUCUACUCUUCAUCUCUACCACAGUACUCUAAUGCCUUCUCUCUGGUCAUCGUCUGCUGGUCUCCAUUGCUUCUUCAGCUGCCUCCUCUCUUCGGCCUCUAUAUUUCAGCCUUAUGUCUUGAUUUGGCUUGACCUUGCUUGUGCAUCCUAUCCUUCUGUCGCUCAC
rnacentral:lncRNA from 1 species